AUGUAAUGGGGUGGAGGUAGCAUUAGUUGUGGCUCCAUAUUAGGCAUGCUUGGGACUACAAAUGUGUUGGACUACAGAUCCCAUGAGUCCAAGUACUAUAAAGGGGGAUAUCAAAUCUUCUGGCCUUUCUCUUUGUGGGACCAUGUGCUGCGUAGGAGAAGCUGUGUGUAUGCUUAAAGGAUAUAUACUGGUGGAUGCCUCAGAAAUUGAGUAGAUUCAUUCAUUAACACAGAUGAUGCAUGAUUGCCGUUUACUUUUAUCUAAAAUAUUGGUGGGUUAAUGUUGGGUUGUAAGAUAUGACUUUUAACAGUUACACUAUGAUGAAGUGAUUUGAAUUUCUUGUGGGACUGUGAUUUUGUUUCGUUUAUUUGUCUUCGUUUUGUGUUAAUCAACCAAAGACAAAGGGGUUCCCAUUCUUGUAUGCAUGGUUGACUCUUAAGGUGAUUGGGCACAAUUUGUAGUGGUUUGAGUCAAGUGCGUGUUGGUUUUCUAUUACACUUGUGUUAUUGGUUUUGUGCUGUGAUUUGAGUGUACUCUUUAAUAGUGGAACUGCCAUUGUAUGGGAUUGGGGAACCCUAUGGUCUAUAGUGGGUUAAACCUUUGUGUUCUUUUCGUUUCUUUGCCACUUCUUAUUACCAUUUGUGUUUAAUAAAUCUGUUUGUGCUUGCAAGGAAACACACUGUGGUUGUUGCCCUUCUUUUACACCUUCCCCAUUACUUGUAAGGCCUGGGGAGGGUUACAAAUGGCGUAGUCGGCAGGCUGCAAAUGAACAAUUAAUGCAACAACGUUCUGCAUCCAGCCGUGACUCUCUUAACCAGCCUGUAUCCAGCAUUAAUGCUCCUCCGCCGGUGCCUUUCACUAGAGUGAUGUAUGUUCCUCGGGAGCGGAAGUGUCGACGGUUCUGUGGGGACUUGGACUCUACUUCAAGCAUAGAGGACUGGAUUGAGGAGGCUGAAGCCUGCGUUGGGGAUGACAGUUGGACUGUGCGAGAAAGGGUAGCAUUCCUUUUAGAUCAUUUAGGAGGGGAAGCCAGAAUGGAGAUUAAACUCCGAGCAGCAGCUGAACGUCAGACUCCCGAACUCAUAUUUAAGGUUUUAAGAAGUAUGUAUGGAGCAAAACAAACAUUUGUGCAGUUGCAGAAAGGGUUUUAUGAUCGAAAACAAAGAGAGGGUGAAUCCCUAAUUGAAUUCUCUCAUGCACUUAUAUCUUUGAUGGAUUCUAUUCUCGUAAGUAGUCCACAUGGUGUCCCGAAUGCUGACCAAGUUCUCCGUGAUCAGUUUGUGGAGCAGGUUAAAGAUGUAGCACUUAAACGUGAACUUAAACGUUUUGUAAGACAAACUCCACACUGUACCUUAAUUGAUGUUCGAAGUGAGGCUA